rnacentral:rRNA from 1 species
AUGGAUAUCGAUUCCCUACAAAAGGAAAAAGUGGAGAUCGAUUCCCUACCUAAAAAGAAGUGGAGAUCGACAUACGGAGAUCGAUUCCCUACAAAAAAAAAAAAGUGGAGAUCAAUAUCCUUCUCGAUUUCUUUUUCCGGGAAGCUCUUCAUCAUGCCGGCAUCGGCGGCGGAGGCCACGAUAACCAGCAAGACCUCCUCAACGGUGGUCGUCCACACCGGCGAGCAUCUGUUCAAGGUCGUCGGCCACUCCCUGGUCACAGGAAGCAACACCAUCCUCACCUCCGAGACCUUCCGCGCCGGCGGCCACGACUGGGCUACCGCCUACCACCCAAACGGCCGCGUCCCGAGGGUUGAUGAGCAGUUGACGUCUGUGUUCCUCAAGCUGAUAAGCCCCGGCCAUGGUGAGGUCAGGGCGUCCUACUCCUUCUGCCUCCAGGAUCCUGAAUCGCCAUCGACCAACAGAUUUAUUUUUGGCAAAACAUCAUGUAAGUUCUUGUUCGGGGGUAAGGGUUUGGGCACCAGCAGCUUUGUGAGCAAAGCCGAUUUGACCGCAUCCGGGUGCCUCAAGGAUGACUGCCUGGUGAUCAAGUGCACCGUUGAAGUCUACAAAGUCAUCUCUGAGGAUAAAGAUAACGGUAACAUCACCGUGCCGCCCUCCAACUUGAGCAUAGAUCUCAGCGAUAUUCUAGAGAGCGGCCUGAAGGCAGAUCUCACUGUCAAGAUCGGUUCGUCCAAGAGUUUCAAGGUGCAUGCGUGCGUGCUGAGUGCGCGGUCACCGGUCUUCCGCGCACAACUAUGCGGCUCCAUGAUGGAAAGCAGGCAUAGCAGCAUCUGCAUCGAGGGUAUGGAUGAUAAGGUUUUCGGGGUCUUGCUGCACUACAUGUACAAGGACUCCCUGCCGGCAUUCAUGGAGGAGACCACGGAAGAGGCGACAAACAUGGCGCAACAUUUACUCGUCGCAGCUGAUCGAUAUGCGGUAGAAAGACUGAAACUGAUGUGCGAGAGCAAGCUGAGCAAGGCGCUGGAUGUCAAGACCGCGGGCUUCACUUUGGAUCUGGCUGAGCGGUACAAUUGUCAACAGCUCAAGGGUUGCUGUCUCAAGUAUAUGGCAAGAGACUUUGAGAGGUUGCGAGACAUAAAACGAAGCGAAGGAUUUGAGCAAUUGAAGAAGAACCAUCCACUUGUCGUGUGUGAUAUUUUCGAUGAAGUUAUUGAGAAACUGAAUCGACAGGUUGUAAUUACUUUUCCUUCGUGA